CUUAAAGUCACGUUUCGGGUAAGCUGACUUCGGGAGGCCAUAACCUCUUUAUAAUUUGAGAAUUUGGGAAAACUCUCAACAUGAAAGUUGUAGAUAAUUGAAAUAUCUUUCCAACCAUAGGUCGUGGGACGAAAUGUGAUAUCGGAGUAAUAAGAUAUAGACGUUUUAAGUCUGACAGGCCAAACUAAAUAGUGAAUUCGGCCCAACCCAAUUUUAAUUCGGGUCAGGCCCAAUACCCACGAAAUUAAUCAAAAUUCUAUGUCUUCCUUCAUAGUUUAGACCAAGAAAUAUCUGGAAAUUUCCAGAGAGAGUAAGAUAAGGGAAAGCUAGAGAGAAACACCAACAUCCACCACAAUUAAAGCCCCGAAUCUCAAAGCUCUUGAAGAGAAAAUUGUUGUACGUCGCGUUGGCUUCAAUUUGAGCUAGAAAUCAGCCAAUAAGGAGAAGAUUUUAUGUGGUGCUGCAAAUUUAAGGUUGAGACAAUAUUGGACAACAUAUACGUAUAAACGCUAAAGGUACAAAUACUCAUUUUGGAGAGCCGCCAACUUAGGAUUCUACUCAACGAGUUUGAAGUGCUCCAUUGUCUCGGAGCCCAAACUUUGGGUACUAAUCCUUAUAAUAUAUAUAUUUGUGUAU